rnacentral:lncRNA from 1 species
GAGCUGAUUAUAGGUCAUGUCCAUGGGUGAAACCAAUGAAUUGAAUGUGAUGAAUCAAGACCAAAACAAGAACUUGCUCCAUGGAUGAAAUGGAUGUUUUCUUGAUGAAUUAUGGUUGAGAAUGACUUGAAUUGAAUGUGAAUGGAGUGAUGUAUGAUAGCAUGAUCAAAUGAGGAAAUACAUAGAAGUAAAAGGUUGCACAAAUUAGGGUUUCUUGGAUCAUAAGUUUCAUCAAGAGCCAUAGUCAUACAAAUUAGGGUUUAGGGGUCUAAAAAAGGGUCUUGAAAUGAUUCACAUGGUUGUG